UUUAAUAGCUCCAUAACCAUGGCUACCCACAACCAGUAUUGAAGCGUGGUGUUUCUCUACAGUCUCACAGAGAACAUUCCUGGCAUCACCCUCUCCCACUUCAUAUAUCACAUCAUCCACCUGCAUAGAAACCAAAAUAAUCAAGAAACUGUUGCCAAGUGCUACUGAUUCAAAUGGGAAAUAUAAGAACUCAAAUUUCUUACUACAUAUCCUGCGUGAAAAAUCAAGGGAAAUUGAAGCAUGAUUAGACACAGUUGUUUCACAUGUGGCGAUGUUUUAUAGGUUGGACAGGUUCCUCUGUAUAUAAUUGUUGUGCCAACAAAUUAAGUUUCUCAUCUGAUCAAAAUCUCCAAGUAGACCAACAAGAAGUAGCAAUUCCUAAUUUUUGAAAAACUAAAAAUGCUCUAAGCACCUUAAAGUUUUAUAGCUCAAUGUUUAGGCUACUGCUGCGAUACCCGAAUUCUCAGUCCAGAAAAUGCUUCUUUAUCAAUCUCAGAGCCAUACCCCCAAUCAUACACAAUAAUUGAAAAGUCUAAAUAAAGAUACUUAAAAUCAAAAUUCUUAAUACACGCAGAGAAAAUAAACAUUGCAGAACGAAUUGAAAGAUAAUAGAUUAUUAAAGCAAGCAAGAAACAAUCACCGAUUUACUCAUGCAGAUUUCCUUAGUCUUCUCAAUAACCCUAGCAGCUAUCCUCUUCAAAUCCGCAUCCACAAACGGCAAAACCUCAGCAGCCCCGGGUCCAGCGAGACCAACGGCAGAGGCAGCAGUGGGUUUGGCGUGGACGACGACGAGGUUGAAAGGAGAAUUAGAAGCGAAGGGGACAAAGAAAUGAUCGAGCGUCCAGCCCAAAGCGUACAAGCUAUGCUCGCUAUCAUCGACGCCAACCACCAUCACUUGCUUCUCUGCUGCGGCCAUUGAAGAUCUCGGUAUGCGUGCUUCUUUUGCUUUGUUUGUUUCUGGAAAGUGCAGAACCAAUUCU
rnacentral:misc_RNA from 1 species